CAGUCGCCGCGGUAAUACAGAGGGUGCGAGCGUUAAUCGGAUUUACUGGGCGUAAAGCGUGCGUAGGCGGCUUUUUAAGUCGGAUGUGAAAUCCCUGAGCUUAACUUAGGAAUUGCAUUCGAUACUGGGAAGCUAGAGUAUGGGAGAGGAUGGUAGAAUUCCAGGUGUAGCGGUGAAAUGCGUAGAGAUCUGGAGGAAUACCGAUGGCGAAGGCAGCCAUCUGGCCUAAUACUGACGCUGAGGUACGAAAGCAUGGGGAGCAAACAGGAUUAGAGACCCCGGUAGUCCCUGUCUCUUAUAC
rnacentral:rRNA from 1 species